GCCACGCUGUGGCUAAGUGAACUACCUCAUACCUCAUGUACAUCUCUGUAAUACCUAUAUGUAUAUACUCGUGUGUAAUGGACCAAUCCAUGUUGUACCAGGGUCCGUUGGCCCACAUCUGUACUGAAAUAAAGAAC